CCACACUGUUAAUUAAACGCACGGGCAGAUAGUAACUUGCUGCCGACACCGAUGGUUCACGUAGGCUAGCUUUGUUCACACGCCACGACACACUUGUGCGUCGAAGCCAACUGGGACGUCAGUUUCGAGCGUCACAUACAACUUCAGCCUCAUCCCGUGAAGCAGAACCGACUGAUAAAGCUAGACAAUCUUUGGUUGAAGCGUUAGUUAGUUAGUUACUUAAUCAAGGAUCUUUGCUAGUUCGUCGGUUGAUCUAUAUAUCACCCGCGUUAAGACGAACCAGUCCCUAUUCCCCUCGAAAAUCCAGGCACCCCAUGCAACUUUCGCACGACGUGGGAAAAGCAUAAGCGCCUAUCAGGAAGAGCCACCUCGCUCAUAGUUGCGUUAUCAUGUGGAAACCUACAUGAUGAAAUGUGUUGAUGUCUUGUCAUCACUACAGUAAAGGCAUCAAGGCUAUAUAUAAGAUUUAGAAAAGAAGGGCACAUUGUCUGUGCCAUCUCAAAGGAUCACCAUGGGUAGACAAGCAACCGUUCUACUCAUUUUUCUGCAAAUCGCGACUAUUCAACCGCAGACGCAGAGGGGUGAUUGGGAUAUCCAACGUUUCCACGUCAACACAACUGUUACCUGUCGCUAUGCCAUCACAGUCAUCACCAGCCAUGUGUUCAAUCGCCAUGACGACUCAACCGAGAUCGACUUCCAUGUCAAGAUCCCGAAAAAUGCCUUCAUCAGCAAAUUCAGAAUGACUAUUGAUGGGAAGAUUUAUGACGGAGUGGUCAAGCCAAAGGAAGAGGCCAGGCAGCAGUACAUUACUGCUGUAUCACGAGGCCAAAGUGGGGGACUGGUCAGCGCUGUAGGCAGGACUUUAGAAGACUUCAAAACAUCAGUGUCUGUCGCUGCUUACAGCAAGGUGACCUUUGAGCUCACCUAUGAGGAACUGCUGCAGCGUCGUCUUGGCAAAUAUGAGCUUCUGAUCAAUGCCCAACCUGGCCAACCUGUAAAAGACUUUAAGAUUGAUGUCAGUUUGUACGAGAAGCCUGGAAUAAGCUUUCUAAAGGUAGAGGGUUCUUUGGCUUCUAAUGACCUGGCCAGUGCUAUCACAAAAUCACAUGCAGAUGAAAAGGCAUGGGUGAACUUCUACCCCACACACAACCAGCAGAUCACAUGUGAUGGCUGUGCAGAGAAUGGGCUUAGUGGUGACCUUAAAAUUAUCUUUGAUGUUGAGAGGCCACAUUCUAAGGGAGAUAUAAGAGAGUAUGGUGGGUUUUUUGUCCAUUAUUUUGCCCCUACUGGUCUUCCACGCAUUCCCAAAAAUGUGGUCUUCAUUAUUGACCAAAGUGGAUCUAUGGCUGGCAAGAAAAUAGAGCAGACUCGAACAGCUUUACUGAAGAUUUUGGGAGAUCUGGAUGGAGAUGACCAUUUUGGCCUGAUAUGUUUUGAUGAUCAAAUAUCACCAUGGAAACGAGAACUCCUCAGGGCAACCCAACAGAACCUGGACAACGCAAAAGAAUUUGUCAGAACAAUAACAGACCGAGGAGGUACAGAUAUAAAUGCUGCCGUGUUGGAAGGUGUGAAUAUGAUCAAAAAUUCUCACAAAGAAGGUUCAGCGUCCAUCCUCAUAUUGCUAACAGAUGGCGAUCCCACUUCAGGUGAGACAAGACCAGAAAGAAUCCAGUCCAAUGUGAGGGAGGCCAUUGGGAAGAGGUUUCCUCUGUACUGCCUGGGUUUUGGGUUUGAUGUGAACUUUGAGUUCCUGCAGAAGAUGGCCCAAGAGAACAGUGGAGUGGCACGUAGGAUCUACCAAGACUCGGACGCGGCUCUUCAGCUGAAGGGUUUCUAUGAAGAAGUCGCCGUUCCUCUGUUGACUAGUGUGCAGAUGAAUUACAGUGGUGCCGCAAACCUGACCCAAACCAGCUUUAGCUACUACUACAAUGGCUCUGAGAUCGUGGUGGCUGGACAGAUCACUGACAUCAACAACUUUAGUACAGAAGUCAUAGGGAAAUCGACCGACAGCAAGGUGACGUACAGUGACGUCAAGCCCAUUGACGAUGACAAACUGUCUGCAGAGAUGAGUGGCUUUGAGAACUUCCUCCAGAGAUUAUGGGCCUGCCUCAAAGUCAAACAGCUUCUGGAGAAAGAGUUGGUGCUGACCAGUGACGAGAAGGAGGCAGUGAAGAAGGAGGCCCUUGAUCUCUCUCUCAAGUACAGUUUUGUGACCCCACUCACCUCGAUGGUGGUCACCAGACCUGAGGGCGAGGACUCUCAUGUGGCCAACAAACCCAAAGAGGGAGACACGUCUGGUGAUGAUGCUGGACAUUCUCACGAUUCAGGACACGUUUCUGAUGAUUGGGGCUUUUUAGAGCAGUUCGAAGAUGAUGUAUAUGCAGUCGAAGCCUUUCAGAAACCAGAUGAGGCGGACAUGGAUGUGGAGGAAGAGGACGAAGAAGGUUAUGAUCCAGUCAUAUCCUUUCUGAAAUCAAGACAUUCUCACGAUUCAGUACACGUUACGACAAGUGAUACAAUUGGCAGUGCUUAUGGGCAGUUGUUGAGUGUUCUGUUGGGAUUUGGAGUGUGUCUGUUCGUGGGACUCCUCAUAGCCUCAAUUCUUGGUUUCAAGGGACGUAAACACUCAAGACCAUCACAUGCCAACCAUGAUAACGGUGACUCUCCCAGUAUCAAUCCUGGAAGUUGUAAAAAUACUGGGUGACGAGCUCCUGCAGAUGGGUGUGGAUGCUAAACUAGUAUCCUGGAUUGACAGACUACCUGACCGAGCGGCCACAGUUCGUCAGACUGAAGAACUGCCUCUCUGACACUGUGAUCAGCAGCACCGGAGCUCCACAGGGAACUGUGCUUUCUCCUGUCCGGUUCACCCUGUACACGUCUGACUUCUGCUACAACACAGAGUCAUGCCACUUGCAGAAGUUUUUGGAUAAUACUGCAAUUGUGGGGUGUAUCAGGGAUGGUCAAGAGGAGGAAUACAGGAGCCUGGUGGAGGAAUGGUGCAAACUUAACCACCUACAACUCAACACUGCUAAGACCAAGGAGAUCGUGGUGGAUUUCUGGAGGUCUAAGCCUGCUCUGCUGCCAGUCACCAUUGAGGGGGUCAAUGUGGAGGUGGUAAACACUUACAAAUAUCUACACCUGGACAAUGAACUGGACUGGUCAUUCAACACUGAAGCACUCUACAGAAAAGGGCAGAGCAGGCUGUACUUCCUGAGGAGGCUGUGGUCCUUCAAUGUCUGCAGCAAGCUCCUCCUCUGGAUGUCUUACCAGUCUGACUCUGUUGUUGCCAUUGCCUCUGCUAUGCUGUUGUAUGGGGAGGAAGCACUAAGAAGAAGGAUGCUGGGCGACUGGACAGGCUGGUAAGGAAAGCUGGCUCUGUUGUGGGAGCUGAACUGGAGUGCAUCACUUCAAUAUCAGACAAAAGGACCCUGAACAAACUAAUCUUAGACAAUGACUGUCAUCCACUCCACAGCACUAUCAUAAAGCAGAAGAGCUUGACCAGUUGGAGACUACGCUCACUGGCAUGCACAACUAAAUAAUAAUAAUCAUACAUUUUAUUUAUAAUGCACUUUUCAUCAGAAGAUCUCAAAGUGCUACAGCUUAAAAACACACACAUAAAAAGGCGAGCAGUUUAAGAAAAAAAGAAAAGGUUUUAAAAAAACAUCUAAAGGGGACCAAAAGCUUUGCUAAAAAGAAAUGUCUUGUGGAAAUGGAUUGUGGUGCCCACAAGGUGUCAGGGACGUGACACCUUGCUGCUGCCCCACGUCUGUGGAAUGCCUUCCCUGACACCUUGAGGGAAACUGACAGACUGAGGAACUCAUUUGUCCCCAGGGACAUACUACUCUUCAAUGCUUCAAGAAAGGGAAGUGAAGAGAUCGACUUCUCUGCUUAGUCUAUCUGCCUCUCCAGCCUCUUCUACACUUUUAUGGCCUCCUAUAACAAUGUUGUGUACGGACUGUCCACUCACCCACGUUACUGCUUACACUGUCUACACUGUUUACAGGCUAUACUAGCCCACAUGCACAACCCCUCCCUCCACUGUGGACUGUGGUCUAACUUCAUACUUGACCAAUGGCUGAUAUCCUAUCACUUCAAACCUAUCCUUGCACUGCUGCUAUAAUUCUUAUAUUACUAUGCUUACAUUUAUCUCUGAUAUUGUCCAUAUUUAAUGCUGGUCUCUUGACUAUCCCUCCACUGUUGGACCUAUUUGCACUAUCACCAUGACACACACCUCAUAGAGCACCUUACCACUGAAACACAGGGUCAGUCCCUGCCCUGUUACGCAAGAGAUUCAUGCUUAUACAUCCUUCGUAUAUUCAUGUGGAUCCUUGAUUUAGUAUCUUUUACUGUCCUUAUUAGUGGAGUUGUUAUUUUAUCAUCCUGUUUAUGUUGUAUUGUAUGUUGUGAUGUCUUAAGUUGGGACCUUGAAUUUCCCCUUAGGGGAUCAAUAACGUAUAUCUAUCAAUCUAUCUGUUAAGUUCCUGUGGUGGAUUUAAAAAUGAAAAUGUUGCACACAUUUACAUGACAUUUCCAUGUCAAGCACAUGCCAGUUCAGUCAAAUGGAGAUCAUCAAAUCAGGGAACAGCAGAACUUUGGGGGCCUCAGCAGAACACUGAUUUUUUAGUACACAAGUUAAACACAAAUAUAGUCUGAUAAACAAUACAAUACAGUUUCAAACAAAAAUUCAACAGUAGAGGUCAACUACAUUUCUUCUAUCCCAGAUUCAUCUGAUCCAUCCAAGUUAGUUUGGUAACUCAGAAUAAAUUCCAUAGAUUUAGGUGGUUCUCAAAGCUAAAAUACAGAUUUUUGCGACAGUUCUUAUUAAUUUUUUGCAUCAAUAUUUAAAAUAAAUUAAGGUCAUUUAGGGAGUUUGGUGGUUCAUAACAUUGAUAUAAGAUGAGAUUCAUACCUAAUAAAAACUUAAUAUGAUUCUCUACAACCUUCAGGAGCUGAUACAUGAAACGUGGCCUGUGCACCAUGCAAAAAAUAGUUUUUUUCGUGAAUAUCUCAAAAAGUAAAGGUUUUACGACUUAUGGUUGUUCAUAACACUAAUAUAAAUGUGGUGUUUCUGCAUCUUUUAAGCCCAAAACCAACUCUAUGUGACCUUCAGGAGCCGAGAUACAGAAUUCUGGGUCUAAAAAGUGGGCGUCGCCAUUUCAGGGCCUUCCCCCACUUAAUUUUUUGGGCUCCUUGCAUUUUUUUGUUUAUUAGGCCCUAAAUGAACAGAAAAACAUUGGCUCAAAUGUUAAUCAUUUUUUGCAGCCAUUUGCCCUAAACUGACCAGACUAAACAGGCAAGGCAAGCAACUGCUUGGAGACCCGAGCCGCUAGGGGGCCCCCGACCUGGUCUCAGCGUGUUUGCGGUGGGUCAAGCAAGAAUUUCGUCCAUAGAGAUUGAAUGAUGUAUUUUGCGUGCUCCUGCCCUGUUGUACAAACAGUACAUAUGUAGGCCCUAUAUGGCCUCAUGAACAGCGGAUCUAUGUUCAAAAAAGUUCAAAGAAUCCGCACAUAUUUAGGCUACUAUGGUAAAUGUCAAUCGAGGGUGCAGUGAUGACGGAUCAACAUCGGAUUUUAGCCUACUCAAUGAAGUUAUAGUAGGCUAAUGUUAAUUGGCAGAAAGAUUGAACAUGGUUUGCUACAUCUAUACGACAGUAAACUUCAGCUAGCUAGCGGCAGUUACAACUAGUUAAGCAAGGAGAUGGUUAACGUUAUGUUUGUAGGCUAUUAGGGCUGUCAGCCAUAACAUGUUAAUCGCGAUUCAGUAAGGACCAAGCAUACGCGUUAAUUUGUUAGAACCCGAUUGACGCAAAGUGCAUCAAAAAACACGCCCUUUCUUCUUUGUUACAUUGCUCCGGAACUGUUCAUUGCAGCGAGAUAAACUUUUAUUGCGUGACA